ACACAGGGAGUAAUAAUGCUGACUGCUAGCAGAAAAUGUGCUGGGUGAGCCCAAAGUCAAGGUGCUUGUACUUUAUUCUGUCCCAGCAGCUACAUGUGUAGGAUGAACCCAGAUCUCAGCAAAUUCAUCCUUGUGCCUUGGUGGCCCUUUCCCUCUCACAGGGCAAACUGUGGAUCAGAAGGACCUGCCAGGAUUGAGCAGCAGCUGACCUGCAGGAAGGGAGGGCUCCUCAGCAAGCCUCCUGUCUGGGGAACCUGGCACUUCUGGACUAGAGCCUGCCGAGCCCAGAGGCUUCAAGGAAAGAUGGAGAGAUAAGGACUUGGUAAUGUUGAGAUCUGGAACACAUUAAAAAAAAACAGGCAUUGCUAACUGACUGCAAGGCAAUAGGACUCUGUCAGCAGGAUGAGGGCUGCCCAGCAGAGUCCAAGGGAGGCGGCAGGAUGCCAUCUGUCUGAGAGAAGAUUCCAACAGAACCCUGGCAUAUUAGGAGGAUUUCUAAUAUGGAAAUAGGCACAGGAGAGUUUCAGAAGUCUCCUCAGGUCUUGCAGUGAUCUCAAGCCUCGGAUAUUGCAAUUAAAAAAAGAUUUUGAUCUACUCAUGUCUCUUUGCUGAAUAUCUGACCAAACUAUUAUGAUUUUUCAUAAAUAUGGAAUAGUCUGCUGUCAGGAAUUGGACUUAACAAAUUAGCUAAUGUAAGUUUCCAGACCUUGCAGGAGAAAUAAAAAUAUGCCAGAGA